rnacentral:rRNA from 1 species
AGGGUUUGAUCCUGGCUCAGAGUGAACGCUGGCGGCGUGGAUUAGGCAUGCAAGUCGAGCGAUCUUUAUGUUGUGAGAAGACUGACCGUAAGGAAGGUUGACUUGUGGCAUUUUGAUAGCGGCAAACGGGUGAAUAAUACAUGGGUAACAUAUCCUAAGGAGGAAGAUAGACCCGCGAAAGUGGGAGUAAUAUUCCGUAAGCCCUUAGUGCUGAAAUGCAUUGAGGGGAAAGAUGGCCUCUAUUUAUAAGCUAUCGCCUUUUGAGUGGCCCAUGGACUAUCAGGUAGUUGGUGGGGUAAUGGCUUACCAAGCCUAAGACGGAUAGCUGGCUUUAGAGAGUGGUCAGCCACAUCGGGACUGAGACACUGCCCGGACUCCUACGGGAUGCUGCAGUCGAGAAUCUUUUUCAAUGGGCGAAAGCCUGAAAGUGCGACGCCGCGUGAGGGAUGAAGGUCUUCGGAUCGUAAACCUCUUUUGUUAGGGAGGAAAACUAAUCGGUGAAUAAUCGGUUAGCUUGACUGUACCUGGCGAAUAAGCCAUGGCUAACUCCGUGCCAGCAGCCGCGGUAAUACGGAGACGGCAAGCGUUACUCGGUUUGACUGGGUGUAAAGGGUCCGUAGGCGGCCAAGCAAGUAGAAAGUGAAAUCCUUUGGCUCAACCAAAGAAUUGCUUCCUAAACUGCUUGGCUUGAGGCUGAAAGAGGAAAACAGAACUGCUAGUGUAAGGGUGAAAUCUGUGGAUAUUGGCAGGAAUGCCCGUGGUGAAGACGGUUUUCUGGUUCAGAUCUGACGCUGAGGGACGAAAGCUAGGGGAGCAAACAGGAUUAGAUACCCUGGUAGUCCUAGCUGUAAACGAUGGGCACUAGGUGUUUGUCUCGUUAGAGAUGGAUGCCGUAGAUAACUCGAUAAGUGCCCCACCUGGGGACUACGGCCGCAAGGCUAAAACUCAAAGGAAUCGACGGGGGCCCGCACAAGCGGUGGAACACGUGGUUUAAUUCGAUGCUACGCGAGGAACAUUACCAGGGUUUGACAUGCUGGUAGUAAUUGCCUGAAAGGGCGUAUGAACUGUAACCAGUCAGUUGCCAGCACAGGUGCUGCAUGGCUGUCGUCAGCUCGUGCCGUGAGGUGUUCCCUUAAGUGGGAUAACGAGCGCAACCCUCGUCCUUAGUUGCUAUUUGCGGUGUUAAAUCGUAAAGCACUCUAAGGAGACAGCCCGCGUUAAGUGGGAGGAAGGUGGGGACGACGUCAAGUCCGCAUGGCCCUUAUGUCCUGGGCUACACACGUGUUACAAUGCCUAUUACAACGGGAAGCCAAACCGCAAGGUGGAGCAAAUCCUAUUAAAGAUAGGCUCAGUUCGGAUUGGGGGUUGCAACUCAUCCCCAUGAAGCUGGAAUCGCUAGUAAUGGCGCAUCAGCUACGGCGCCGUGAAUACGUUCCCGGGGCCUUGUACACACCGCCCGUCAAGCGCUGAAAGUGGGAGGUACCCUAAGCCCUGACUUCGGUCAAGAACACGGUAAAUUUCAUGAUUGGCGCUAAGUCGUAACAAGGUA